CUCCACGUGGUGAAAUGGAUAUCAUACGGCCCUCCGAAGGCUGCGUUACAGGUUCGAUUCCUGUCGUGGGGACCA
rnacentral:tRNA from 1 species